AGCCAACUUCCAGAUUUCCUCGGCGGCAGUUGUUCGUGCCCAAAUGAUGGAGGGUGUCUUAGAUCUGAUAAGGGACCUUGGAAUGAUCCUGACAUUUUGAAACUAUUGCAUUCUAGAGAAGCAAUGAAGCUAACAAAGUUUGGAAGUUCUUCUGUUGCUGAUGGGGUUGAUGUGAAGUCAUAUGCCAGCAAGGUUAAAAGCACUGGAAUAUCUGAACCUUUAUCAACGUCAGAAGUAAGAUUGAAUCCUUCAGCCUUCGUACAAUCUGUUCC